rnacentral:rRNA from 1 species
UGACCAGCCACACUGGGACUGAGAUACGGCCCAGACUCCUACGGGAGGCAGCAGUAAGGAAUCUUCCACAAUGGGCGCAAGCCUGAUGGAGCAAUGCCGCGUGCAGGAAGACGCUUUUCGGAGUGUAAACUGCUUUUCUGAAGGAAGAUUAUGACGGUACUUCAGGAAUAAGGAUCGGCUAACUACGUGCCAGCAGCCGCGGUAAUACGUAGGAUCCAAGCGUUAUCCGGAAUUACUGGGCGUAAAGCGUGCGCAGACGGUUUGAUAGGUCAGUUGCGAAAUCCCAUGGCUCAACCAUGUGGACUGUAAUUGAAACCAUCUGACUAGAGGUAGGUAGAGGCAAGUGGAAUUUCUGGUGUAGGGGUGACAUCCGUAGAUAUCAGAAGGAACACCAAUGGCGAAGGCAGCUUGCUGGGCCUUACCUGACGUUCAGGCACGAAAGCGUGGGGAGCAAACAGGAUUAGAUACCCUGGUAGUCCACGCCGUAAACGAUGAUCACUAGUGAUAUGGGGCUUCGACCCCCUGUGUCACAAAGCUAACGCGUUAAGUGAUCCGCCUGGGGAGUACGAACGCAAGUCUAAAACUCAAAGGAAUUGACGGGGACCCGCACAAGCGGUGGAGGAUGUGGUUUAAUUCGAAGCUACGCGAAGAACCUUACCGAGGC